rnacentral:rRNA from 1 species
AGAGUUUGAUCAUGGCUCAGGAUGAACGCUGGCGGCGUGCGUAAUACAUGCAAGUCGAACGGGGUAUUUGAGUAAUCGAAUACUUAGUGGCGAACGGGUGAGUAACGCGUUGGUGACCUGCCCCAAAGCGGGGGAUAACAGCCUGAAAGGGUUGCUAAUACCGCAUAUGGUCUAGAGGGCUUAGAAGCUUUAGAUUAAAGGAGAAAUCCACUUUGGGAGGGGCCUGCGUCCCAUCAGCUAGUUGGUAGGGUAAAAGCCUACCAAGGCGAUGACGGGUAGGGGACCUGAGAGGGUGACCCCCCACAAUGGAACUGAAACACGGUCCAUACACCUACGGGUGGCGGCAGUAGGGAAUAUUGCACCAUGGGCGAAAGCCUGAUGCAGCAACGCCGCGUGAGUGAUGAAGGCCCUCGGGUCGUAAAACUCUUUUCAAGAGGAAGAGGAAGGACGGUACUCUUGGAAUAAGCCUCGGCUAACUACGUGCCAGCAGCCGCGGUAACACGUAGGAGGCGAGCGUUAUUCGGAUUUACUGGGCGUAAAGCGCGUGUAGGCGGCUCUAUAAGUUGGAUGUGAAAGCUCCCGGCUUAACUGGGAGAGGACGUUCAAAACUAUAGAGCUUGAGUACGAGAGAGGAAAAUGGAAUUCCGGGUGUAGUGGUGAAAUGCGUAGAUAUCCGGAGGAACACCAGUGGCGAAGGCGAUUUUCUGGCUCGAGACUGACGCUCAGACGCGAAAGCUAGGGUAGCAAACGGGAUUAGAGACCCCGGUAGUCCUAGCUGUAAACGAUGUAGACUAGGCGUUGGUGGAGUAAAAUCCAUCAGUGCCGCAGCAAACGCGAUAAGUCUACCGCCUGGGGACUACGGCCGCAAGGUUAAAACUCAAAUGAAUUGACGG